rnacentral:ribozyme from 1 species
UGCCCAGCAACUCCUAUCCCUACCUCCACGCGGUACCGGCCGGAAACUAUGAGCAACCUUAGGGAAGAUCGAGUAACCAACCCCGGUGGGAACUUUGGUCGUAGGCUGACAGGGAAGG